rnacentral:rRNA from 1 species
AGGAUGAACGCUGGCGGCGUGCCUAAAACAUGCAAGUCAUACGGGCUACCUUCGGGUAGCCAGUGGCAAACGGGUGAGUAACACGUGGGAACGCGCCUUGGGGUGGGGAAUAACGCUGAGAAAUCAGUGCUAAUACCGCAUAUGGUCUAACGACUAAAGCAGCAAUGCGCCCCGAGAGCGGCCCACGACCGACUAGCUAGUUGGUGGGGUAAUGGCCUACCAAGGCGGUGAUCGGUAGCUGGUCUGAGAGGAUGGUCAGCCACACUGGGACUGCGAACGGCCCAGACUCCUACGGGAGGCAGCAGUUAGGAAUUUUCGUCAAUGGGGGCAACCCUGAACGAGCAACGCCGCGUGCAGGAGAAGGUUUUCGGAUCGUAAACUGCUUUUCUCGGGAAGAGAACGGACGGUACCCGAGGAAUCGAGCCCCGGCUAACUACGUGCCAGCAGCCGC